AUCCAGCCUAAUGUAAGAAGUCA
rnacentral:piRNA from 1 species